rnacentral:rRNA from 1 species
AGUGAACGCUGGCGGUAGGCCUAACACAUGCAAGUCGAACGGCAGCACAGUAAGAGCUUGCUCUUACGGGUGGCGAGUGGCGGACGGGUGAGGAAUACAUCGGAAUCUACUUUUUCGUGGGGAAUAACGUAGGGAAGCUUACGCUAAUACCGCAUACGACCUACGGGUGAAAGCAGGGGAUCUUCGGACCUUGCGCGAUUGAAUGAGCCGAUGUCGGAUUAGCUAGUUGGCGGGGUAAAGGCCCACCAAGGCGACGAUCCGUAGCUGGUCUGAGAGGAUGAUCAGCCACACUGGAACUGAGACACGGUCCAGACUCCUACGGGAGGCAGCAGUGGGGAAUAUUGGACAAUGGGCGCAAGCCUGAUCCAGCCAUACCGCGUGGGUGAAGAAGGCCUUCGGGUUGUAAAGCCCUUUUGUUGGGAAAGAAAAGCAGCAGGUUAAUACCCCGCUGUUCUGACGGUACCCAAAGAAUAAGCACCGGCUAACUUCGUG